rnacentral:lncRNA from 1 species
GGGUUCGUGACGUCCGGCGGGCUGGGCGUGGCGGCGCUGUCCGUGUUCUCGUGGAUGUACAAGUACCUCACCGGCAAGCACCCACCGGGCGCCGACCAGCUGGACCACGCCAAGGCGCGGCUCGCGUCCAAGGCCCGCGACAUCAAGGACGCCGCGCAGACCCGCAUCGACCAGGCGCAGGGGGCUUGAGGAGGAGGUUCGUGCUCCGGCGCGCGGCCGAUGCGUGGAUGAUGAUAAACGACAUAGCGCACGGUUGCUGAUCCGUGCGCGCGUUUGAUCGCCGCCGCGCCCGCCGCGCGAGCAAGUCGACGACGUUUACCACCUGUUUGUGCUAUCCGACCGAGUGCGUGUUUAGACUUCUGUUGCGAACUAGUUGUCCUAGUAGUGCUCUAGCAGUAUGUUUCCGUGGUCGAAGUUUGGAGAGGGUCUGGAUGCUGGGUGUACUAUGGUGUGUGCUUGUGGAUGUCCGAGUUUAUGAUGAAUAAAUUGCCGAGUUUGGGCAAGUGUGCAACUGUGCUUGUGGAUGCCUCUUGUCUCUUUUCACAAAAAAAAAAAGGAUGUGCAGAAGAGACAAGGUCCUUCUGUUUAUUUCUACAUGACUCUAAAAUCAACUUAAUACCAACUUACCAAGUGGGUAUGGUACUAGCAUUAAUUCCCUGUGCAAGCAUACGGUUAAUUUGUUUAACAAGAGAUCUGAUCUCGUAGAGAUGUUUAUG